rnacentral:rRNA from 1 species
GAUGAACGCUAGCGGCAGGCUUAAUACAUGCAAGUCGAGGGGUAGCAAGAUUGUAGCAAUACAAUUGUUGACGACCGGCAAACGGGUGCGGAACACGUACACAACCUUCCUACAAGUGGGGAAUAGCCCAGAGAAAUUUGGAUUAAUACCCCGUAACAUAGCGAUGUGGCAUCACAUUGCUAUUAUAGCUUCGGCGCAUGUUGAUGGGUGUUCGGCUGAUUAGAUAGUUGGCGGGGUAACGGCUCACCAAGUCUACGAUCAGUAGCUGAUGUGAGAGCAUGAUCAGCCACACGGGCACUGAGACACGGGCCCGACUCCUACGGGAGGCAGCAGUAAGGAAUAUUGGACAAUGGACGCAAGUCUGAUCCAGCCAUGCCGCGUGAAGGAUUAAGGUCCUCUGGAUUGUAAACUUCUUUUAUAAGGGACGAAAAAAGGUCUUUCUAGAUCGUCUGACGGUACCUUAUGAAUAAGCACCGGCUAACUCCGUGCCAGCAGCCGCCGUAAAAC